rnacentral:lncRNA from 1 species
GAAAAUCAUGGAGAGAUUGUUUACAUAAAUCCCACAGUUCAAGGGCAGAAAGAGGAAUGGAAAGAGGAGUUAGAAUUGAAUUCUGCUUACGUUUUGUUAGUGUUUCAUUUUAUUGGCCUCACUUUGCCCUUUAGAUGGACUCCUGCUGUGUGUGAUGGAGAUAGCACCACAAAGGCAGUGGCGUGUGUCCUCGCCAACAGUCCGCAUCCCAGGUGCUGCAUUCGUGCCCUUUUGGGGGAAGGUAAGAUAGAAGUUUACAGAAUUUAAGCAUCUGUGGGGCCAGGCGUGGUGGCUCACACCUAUAAUCACAGUACUUUGGGAGGCUGAGGUAGGAGGAUCGCUUGAGUCCAGGAGGCUGGGGCUGUAGUGAGCUAUGAUUGUGCCACUGCACUCCAGCCUGAGAGACAGAACAAGACCCUGUCUCCAAUUUUUUGUGUUUAUUCAGACCUUUUAUUUUGCUGACAUUCCAAACUUACAUUAGAAAGUGUUCUUGGCCGGGUGCGGUGGCUCGUGCCCGUAAUCCCAGCACUUUGGGAGGCCGAGGCGGG